AUUGAACGCUGGCGGCAUGCUUUACACAUGCAAGUCGAACGGCAGCGCGGGCUUCGUCCUGGCUGCGCGUGGCGAACGGGUGAGUAAUUCAUCCGAACGUGCCCAGUAGUUGGGGAUAGCACGACGAAAGCCGGAUUAAUACCACAUACGACCUGAGGGUGAAAGCGAGGGAUCUAAAGGCCUCGAGCGAUUUGCUAUGACGAUGUCGGAUUAGCUAGUUGGUUGGGUAAAGGCUUACCAAGGCGACGAUCCGUAGCUGGUCUGAGAGGACGACCAGCCACACUGGGACUGAGACACGGCCCAGACUCCUACGGGAGGCAGCAGUGGGGAAUUUUGGACAAUGGGGGCAACCCUGAUCCAGCCAUGCCGCGUGCGGGAAGAAGGCCUUCGGGUUGUAAACCGCUUUUGUUCGGGAAGAAAUCCUCUGGGCUAAUACCCCGGGGGGAUGACGGUACCGGAAGAAUAAGCACCGGCUAACUACGUG
rnacentral:rRNA from 1 species